GAUGAACGCUGGCGGCGUGCCUAAUACAUGCAAGUCGAGCGAACGGACGAGAAGCUUGCUUCUCUGAUGUUAGCGGCGGACGGGUGAGUAACACGUGGAUAACCUACCUAUAAGACUGGGAUAACUUCGGGAAACCGUAGCUAAUACCGGAUAAUAUUUUGAACCGCAUGGUUCAAAAGUGAAAGACGGUCUUGAUGUCACUUAUAGAUGGAUCCGCGCUGCAUUAGCUAGUUGGUAAGGUAACGGCUUACCAAGGCAACGAUGCAUAGCCGACCUGAGAGGGUGAUCCGCCACACUGGAACUGAGACACGGUCCAGACUCCUACGGGAGGCAGCAGUAGGGAAUCUUCCGCAAUGGGCGAAAGCCUGACGGAGCAACGCCGCGUGAGUGAUGAAGGUCUUCGGAUCGUAAAACUCUGUUAUUAGGGAAGAACAUAUGUGUAAGUAACUGUGCACAUCUUGACGGUACCUAAUCAGAAAGCCACGGCUAACUACGUG
rnacentral:rRNA from 1 species